rnacentral:lncRNA from 1 species
AUGUUACAUUUAAAUGUAAAAUGUGAGCCUAUAAUCUCUGACCUUUCACCUUUCUCAGUGCAAAAGCUGAGUGCCCCAGAAAAGCAUUUUCUUGUGCUGAUGUGUUCUGACGCUUCAUAUGUUAACUGGAGCCAUGGGCUGGAAAGGAUGAUCGCCUCUAGACAAAGAAAGCAGGUGUCUUACCUGGACCAAAGCAAACACCAGCUGCUUGAAGAUGGCCAGCUCUCCAUUAAAGACCUGCAGGAAUCAGACGCAGGAGAAUAUUACUGCAACCAUCAGCUAGUGGCAGAUAUCACUGUGCUCAAAGGUCAUAACUUUACAGUUCCUGAGGGCACAACUGUUUAUCUUCCAUGUAAGACAUCUAAUAAAAUGAAGCAGAGAUGGGCAUUCAAACGCACUCCUCAGUCCAGAAAAGAGUUCAUCUCCACGCUUUAUAAAAACAGCACCAUAAAGAAAGAGAGAGCUGAUCCAACAUUAAGAUUCACUCACACCACAGAUGACCUGAUUAUCUCAGAUCUCCAGCUGCAGGACUCUGGGCUUUAUCUGUGCAACAACAGAGAGAUGGCUUUCCUUACGGUGACCACAGGUAGCACUGAGCACAGCAUCAACACUGAAUAUACAAUCCUUUCUAUUAUGAUAGGAAUUUUCCUAGGGUAUUCCUACAGGAAAUCCAUGAUACCAUGCAAUAAGAAGGCAUCCCCAAAACAUACAGCGGGUAAAAGUAUUGAACGCAUCACCAUUUUUCUCAGUAACUAUGAUUCUAAAGGUGCUGCUGACAUGAAAUUUUUACCAGAUGUCAAUAACAACCCAAGUAAUCAAUAAAUACAAAGAAAAGAAAACAUAAGUUCAGAAAUUAAGUUCUGUGGAAUGACACUGGGAAAAAGUAUUGAACACAUGAAGAAAGGGAUGUGCAAAAAGGCAUGGAAAGCCAAGACACCAGCUGAAAUCUAUCAGUAAUUAGAAAGCAAUCCUGCACCUCAUCAGUGAAAAUUAAUAUUAGCUUCAGUCCCAACACCUACAGUACCUGGAUGAUGAAGAUGAAACAAUGGUGGACAUUCCAGCAAGACAAUGAUCCCAAACACAGCCAAGGAAACUCUCAAUUGGUAUCAGAGAAAGAAAAUAAAGCUGCUAGAAUGGCCAGCCAGUCACCUGACUUGAAUCCAAUAGAAAAUAAGUUCAUAGAAGAGGCCCACAGAACCUUCAAGAUUUGGGACAAAUUCACACCUGAGCAAUGCAUGAGACUAGUUUCUCCAGACAGAAGGCGUCUUGAAGCUGGCAUUACCAACAAAGGCUUUUGUAUAAAGUAUUUCAAUACAUUUCAAUAGUUCAAUACUUUUUC